ACCCAAAAAGACAGUCUCAGUUCGGAUUGAAGGCUGAAAUUCGCCUUCAUGAAGCCGGAAUUGCUAGUAAUGGCAGGUCAGCAUACUGCCGUGAAUACGUUCCCGGGCCUUGUACACACCGCCCGUCACACCAUGAGAGUUGGGGAUACCCGAAGCCUGUGAGCCAACUAUAUAGAGGCAGCAGUCGAAGGUAGAAUCAAUGAUUGGGGUGAAGUCGUAACAAGGUAUC
rnacentral:rRNA from 1 species